rnacentral:rRNA from 1 species
GAUGAACGCUGGCGGCGUGCCUAAUACAUGCAAGUCGAGCGAACAGACGAGGAGCUUGCUCCUCUGACGUUAGCGGCGGACGGGUGAGUAACACGUGGAUAACCUAUCUAUAAGACUGGGAUAACUUCGGGAAACCGGAGCUAAUACCGGAUAAUAUAUUGAACCGCAUGGUUCAAUAGUGAAAGACGGUUUUGCUGUCACUUAUAGAUGGAUCCGCGCCGCAUUAGCUAGUUGGUAAGGUAACGGCUUACCAAGGCAACGAUGCGUAGCCGACCUGAGAGGGUGAUCGGCCACACUGGAACUGAGACACGGUCCAGACGCCUACGGGAGGCAGCAGUAGGGAAUCUGCCGCAAUGGGCGAAAGCCUGACGGAGCAACGCCGCGUGAGUGAUGAAGGUCUUCGGAUCGUAAAGCUCUGUUAUUAGGGAAGAACAAAUGUGUAAGUAACUAUGCACGUCUUGACGGUACCUAAUCAGAAAGCCACGGCUAACUACGUG